rnacentral:rRNA from 1 species
UCGGGAAUAUUGCACAAUGGAGGAAACUCUGAUGCAGUGACGCCGCGUGCAGGAAGAAGGUUUUCGGAUUGUAAACUGCUUUAGACAGGGAAGAAACAAGACAGUACCUGUAGAAUAAGCUCCGGCUAACUACGUGCCAGCAGCCGCGGUAAUACGUAGGGAGCAAGCGUUAUCCGGAUUUAUUGGGUGUAAAGGGUGCGUAGACGGGUAUAUAAGUUAGUUGUGAAAUCCCUCGGCUCAACUGAGGAACUGCAACUAAAACUGUAAAUCUUGAGUGCGGGAGAGGAAAGUGGAAUUCCUAGU